GGCUGGUCCGAGUGCAGUGGUGUUUACAACUAACUGAUCACAACUAGUUAUACAUUUCUUUGUUCAUUCUCCACUUCCACUGUUCACUUGACCAGCCUUAA
rnacentral:Y_RNA from 1 species